AUGACGGCGAUGACUAUGGCCGGCGCGUCGUCUCCCACCAAGAAAAGCGGCCUCCGGGGGCCGCGGCCGCAGCCGCUGAAGAUGGCGUCGGCGCCGCCGUCCUCCAGGCCGUUGACCAAGAAGGCCCACGGUGGCGGUGCGCCGGUGAUCGUCUACGAGCACACGCCCAAGGUCGUGCACGCGCGGCCGCACGAGUUCAUGACCGUCGUGCAGCGGCUGACCGGCAAGCCGGCGCCGGCUCCGGCGCUGUUCCCUGGAUACGAUGUUCCCGUGGCGCCUAUGGACGAGGGAGCUGGAGUAGGAGACCCGCUGCUGCUCACCCUCGGGCACGGGCAGCAUCCGCCCAUGGCGGCCGGGCAGCUCAUGUCCCCCGGCGGCUUCAUCUUCUCCCCCAACACCAUGCAGUCCAUUCAGGAGCUCUGCUCAACCCCUUGCGCUAAUUGA
rnacentral:rRNA from 1 species